rnacentral:rRNA from 1 species
GAUGAACGCUGGCGGCGUGCCUAAUACAUGCAAGUCGAGCGAACAGACGAGGAGCUUGCUCCUCUGACGUUAGCGGCGGACGGGUGAGUAACACUUGGAUAACCUACCUAUAAGACUGGGAUAACUUCGGGAAACCGGCGCUAAUACCGGAUAAUAUAUUGAACCGCAUGGUUCAAUAGUGAAAGACGGUUUUGCUGUCACUUAUAGAUGGAUCCGCGCCGCAUUAGCUAGUUGGUAAGGUAACGGCUUACCAAGGCAACGAUGCGUAGCCGACCUGAGAGGGUGAUCGGCCACACUGGAACUGAGACACGGUACAGACUCCUAGGGGAGGCAGCAGUAGGGAAUCUUACGCAAUGGGCGAAAGCCUGACGGAGCAACGCCGCGUGAGUGAUGAAGGUCUUCGGAUCGGAAAACGCUGUUAGUAGGGAAGAACAAAUGUGUAAGUAACUAGGCACGUCUUGACGGUACCUAAUCAGAAAGCCACGGCUAACUACGUG